CUAAAACCAAUUCCCCUUCUCCCAUCUCUCACGUCCGGUUCUCCCCUCCCCCGCCGUCGCAAUCUGCCCCACCGCGCCCCGCCCCUCCCAUCGCUGCGAUCUGCUUCGCCGGACCACCCCGCUCCCUUCCACCGCCGCGAUUUGCCCUCUCCCAUCUCCACACCGGUUCUUUCUCCCCCAAAAUUCCCAAAUCCUAAUUUCACAGACUCUCAUCUCCUGCUUCGAUUCGUUGUAGUCCGGUCCUCUGAGGCGCGACAAGACCCCGUCGCACCGCCUUCAGCCGCCGUCGCGCUGCCCUGCCCGUCGCGACCAGAGCAGUCCGCCAGUUGCGCGCCAGGUAGGAUUCUAAUUGUUGGAUUCUCCAAUGGAAUAUGCGAACCCCCAGUUUCCAUCUUGAGGUCUAAUUCCAAUUCCACCAACCACAAAUUCUGCCCCGAAUCGUCCGAUAGAUCCUACACCAGCAUCGGUUCAUCUAGGGUCGGCGCCACCUUCAAUUCGAAAACGGUUCAAUUUUGACAACUUCCGACUGCUGUCUCUCCAACUACUUCUCUGGGCUGGAUUGAAUAUUGAAGAUACGAGGGAAGAGGAAGAAAAGGAAUUGCAUUCCGUGUUUUCUCUUAGAAGAGAGUCUCGGUCCUCGAUCCGUUUCAUAGGUUACAGCAGGUAACUUAAUUACGAUAGUUUGUUUAUUAGAAUUCAUUUAAUUUCACAGACUGAGUGGACCCAUAUCACCACAUAUAGGGAAGUUAGAAGCCCUGCAGAUUCUGGCUCUUCAUGACAACAAUUUAUAUGGGGCAAUUUCUCCAGAGCUGGGAAACUGUACACAGUUGCAGUCAGUCGCCGUCAAUGACUGCUCCGCCGGUUAGCUUUGAAUUGGUUCUUGAUCAGCCAUGGUAAUGAUAGAAUGGACACAGCACAAUGGAGGGCAUCAAAGAGUCCUGUUUAUUAAAGAGAGGAGAUUAUGUUCCAGGGUUUGAAGGUUUCCCCUGGAAUUCGGAGGAGUAUCCACUCUGGUUCAUCGUUGGUGGCCUUGUGACUUGGCAGCGGCAACAUUGAGCUUUGGAAUCCUAAGCCCCUGAGCUUUGAAAUUAUUAGUUUCUCUUUUAUUGAAAUGUCUCCAAUUUUUUUAUUUUUUUUAUUUCUCAUUUUCGUUUUGUAGUUUUUUUUACUGUUAUUAAUGUCAAUAACUGAACAAAAAGGAGCAAUGGGAAGAAGGUAUGAAAAACAAGAAAAAAAAAUGGAUACUUUAUUUUGACUUAUCAUUCGACAU